GGCGCCAUCGUCUAUCGGUUAGGACGCCCGGUUUUCAACCAGGUAAGGCGGGUUCGACUCCCGCUGGCGCUG
rnacentral:tRNA from 1 species